CUCAUUAUUUCGACUAAUCUUGAGUUUUUUCAUGGUUUUUAUGCUCUAAAAAAUGGGAAUAAAUGAAGUACACAUGCUCAAUAAAAAUAAUUUAAUACCCUAACCUCCAAGACUGAUAAUCGAAUACCUCUCGUCUCUUUUUUCUUUACUCUCGUACUUCUUCAAUCUUUUAUUUGUAGUGGUCAUAGCUGAUAGUAUUGUUAAAUGGUUAUAAUUACGACUAGAGUUUUAUUUUCUCUAUUUACAGUGACAAUGCACACCCAUUAUUUUCACAAUGUACUAUAGUAACAU
rnacentral:lncRNA from 1 species